rfam:Struthio camelus australis contig21916, whole genome shotgun sequence.
CUGUGACCUGGUUCAAGUAAUCCAGGAUAGGCUGUAUCCAUUCUAAUUGGCCUAUUCUUGGUUACUUGCACUGGGAGGCAA